GCCCGGGUGGUGGAACUGGUAGACACACCGUCUUGAGGGGGCGGCGCCCGUUAGGGCAUGCGAGUUCAAGUCUCGCUCCGGGCACCA
rnacentral:tRNA from 1 species